rnacentral:lncRNA from 1 species
AUAAAGUAAAUUAUUUUCAUAAACAAUAAAUGGACCCCUAACACGAUUCUUGAUAGUAAGUAAUUAUGGUACUUUAUUCUAGUUUUAAAUUACUUUUGAAAUCUUAGUAAUGUCAUUUAAAUACUACUUUCCUUACUGAGUAUGUGAACUCACCCUUUUCCAUGCCCCACUAGAUGAGAACGAUAAUGAGGAACCAAUAGUUGAUCAACUCCCUUAAAGUCUUCGAGAAUCCUGUGGAUCCGUGACCUUAUGAGUGCAUGUUUUGUCCUGCACUCUGAUGAGUCCAUCUUUUGUAGAGGUUU